GCAGAGGGGGGUCCGGUGCCAGUUGCUUAAAAAUGCCCCUGUAGCAUCAAGAGGUGCCAGACCCAAGUGAACUUAGUUGAGAAGCAGUAACACCCACAACCACACCCCAAAUAGACUGGGCCUCCACCUCCGAAGAGUCAUCCCUGGACCAGACACCAGUCAAGGCAAGAGUAAUGGCUGGUAGUAUUCCCCCUACACUGGAGAAGAGCCCCAGAGAGGAAUCUUGCUGAGAAGCCAAGAAGGGACAGCGAUAGCCACCUGGCUCCCAGAUCUGAGCUUCCCAACAGACAGAAGGCAGAGAUUCCCCUUGCCUGGAGACAUUUUCUGAAGACAUGGGAAAAGGAGGAAAGGCGGGCUACUCCCGGGCAGCAGGCCCCCAAGCUGCUGAGAGCCAGUACCAAGAACACCAGGUAAGAUUUGGAGUUCACCUGGUUCAGCCACCCCUUUAACAGAAUGGAGAACCAAGCCCGGGAGAUAAAGGGGCCCAGUGAGAAAUAUCUCUGCUCUCUGGAGAUAGAGCUUGGAUCUCCAAGCCUCUCUCACCUUCCAACGGCACCUCAGGGUGAAGGAGCCUUUCUUGGGGUAAAUGAAAAACUCCUUCAAAUACCUCUUCUCAGCGAGGCUACAUUUGAGGGAAACCAUGGUCCGGACAAGCUCUGCCUACCAGCCCAGUACAUGUAUGUUCCUGGGCCCAGAGAGAAAAGGUAUACCUUCCCAUCCCACUGUUCCUCCCCACAAUCCCAGUCCCCACCCCACCCCACCCCACCCCUUCCAGAAGGCCUUUCGAGCUACUCAAGGGGUGGGGUAGGAACCUCCCUGGCCACAAGUUCUUGGCAGUCUUUCCACAGGCUCGCUGGAGUUCCGAUGAGUUUACCCCCAUGCCCUCCUUGGGUGCUUUCCUUCCCCUUCAGCCUUCUGUACCCUGCAAGGGCAAGGACAGUAUUAAGGCUGCUUUAGCUAGGAGUACAGGGACAUACUCCUUAAGCACGUAGAGACGGUGCUGGGUCUGCUGAAUGAGCCGUCCCACAGCCAGAGGACUAAGAAACAGAUGUCAGGCAUGGAGUUUAAGGUGAGGGACCAGGCCCGGCUGCUCUGAGUUAGGAAGCCCGGUAUAGUACCUUGCACUCCAACCCCGGGGAAAAUCCUAUUUCCUUGGAGUCUUGGGGACCUAUGGGAAUAUGUGCAUUUAAAUGUUCACCAGCUUGAUUAUUCUAGAAUCACAGGGACAGAGCUAGACAGUCUUUAUCCAGGGAUGGGACAAGGAAGAAGAGGCAAAGACCUUUCCAGGCUGAACACCUCCCUCUCCCUACCAUCUGGCCGUUUAUGUCUCCUUAAGAAAGAUGGACCACCUUCUGUCUGGUUUCUGUAUCGCACCAAGAUGUAAAAUCUCUGCCGUCCCUCCUUUAUCCUUUAUGGGACUGCAUCAACUCUCAUUUCCCCUUUCUGAGUUGCUGUCUGCGAAUCUAGAAAGCCUCACCCCCAUUCCUGGUCCUCUCCCUAAGGUGAUCAUUUCCAAUCACAAGCCACCCAGAAGGUAGGACAGGCUCUGGCAUUCUGCCCCAGACCUAGUCAUUGGAUGCCCUGUUUUUUACUUUUGUCUGCAAUUUUACUGUAAAGGUGAAUCCUUUUACGUACGUAAGCUGGAAUACUUGUUAUAAAUGGAAAACUGACGCCAGCCAGAGUUUUAAAUGAUAAUAUAAAGAUGCAACAUCAGAUUCACACUGUCACCUACUUCUGUGGCUUGUCAGGCCCCGACCUGAAGCCCCUUCCUAAAAUAAGCAGGCCUCAGGAAGAAGUCAGAAGCAGAACUAGCCAGGCUUUCCUCUCCAUACACAGGACCCCAGGCCAACAGGCAUCGUGGCUCAUGCCUGUAAUCUCAGAAUCCCAGAAGUAGAGGCAGGGGGAUCAACACUUCUACACAGUGAAUGAGUCUGGGGACUAGCCUGGUCUGCAAGUGUUUCUGUCUCUAAAAAGAAAGAAGGAUAAAAAGGGAAAUAAGGGGAAGGGGAAGGUAGACAAAGAGACAGGGGACAACGCAAAUGGCGUGUCACCAAAUGACUCCCAGAGGCCACCUACUCCCUCUGCUGCCCCAGAAAUCAAAAGCAGUGUAGGCAAGAGGGAUUUGGACACAGUUGACCCUGGGGAAGGCUCCUAGCAACCCAACCAUGCUGCGUCCACCACUUCUAGUUACUUACUGAAAUGUCCCUUGGUCAGCUUCAGUGCCACCUCUCCCAGGGUCCAAGGGAGCUGCGGGGACUGUCGUGGAGAAGAGAAGAUGUUCUGGCUCCAAGAGAGUCCUGUGUUCAGAUCUCCUGGUAAGAGGGCUGUGGAAAGUUUCUGAGGAUUCCAGAUGGAGGGAAGUUGGUUAUUAGGUGGGGAUGCCUGAGGGCAGAAGUUUCCUGGCCUUAGCAACAAAUCAGAGAAGUUUUUCCCACUGCCCCUGCACCCUACCCCCAACUUGGGGUUGCUGCUAGAUUCCUGUUGGGAGGCCUAGAGCUGUGGGGUUUCUAAAAAUGGAGGUGCACAUUUUUUUCUGUUCUCUCCCAGCCCUGAGGAAAGGCUGCCUACGCUCUUCAGAAAGCCCUGAAGGUAUGUAUCGUCCAGCAUGGAGGCCAUUGCAGUCACCAUGAAGCAAAGGUCAUCUGGAAACCCUGGGGUCUUAGCAAGAGCAGGGUGAGUGGGUGGUUUGGGGAGGGGCUGCUCUGCUCACCUGGGAGUUCCCACACAGGCCCUGGCCACAGAAGAAAAGGAAUCCUUCACAUGGUCACUCAGUCACCACGAGUCAUCUGCUGUCUGUGGUCAUGUGCAAAGUCAUCAGCAGGUUCUAGGGACCCCAAGUUAUAAUAUAUGGACCCUGGCCUCAGGGAACUGGAGAGGUUAGCUGGGGUGACCCAGAGAUAAACCGCUCCAAGGCCACAGAGGAUGAGGUGAGUUGUUAGCCAUCUACUCAAGCAGUGUUCAACACAGCCUUGAUCUGGGGGCUGAGGGAAGCCAGUAGGCUCCCUUUCCUUAUGAAGGAAAGUGCCUGCAGAUGAAAACUGUACCGGAAGAGCUAGGAAAGAGACAGAGCUCAAAGGAUGGGUGCGACCAUGAAGAAAAUGUCCUGGGAUCUAAAGAAGUAAGGGAUGGUUUCUCACUAGCAGUCAUUUGUCCAAAGUGCAUACAGAGACUGAUGGGGGAGGGGCAGCAAACACGAGAGCCACAGGUUGAGCAGGCCCAGAGAGGCUAUCUAAUAUCUGCAAGGCCCUGGGUUCCAUCUUUAGCACUGAAAAAAAAAAUUAACUGCACUCUUGAAAUGGAUGGGGUCUAUCUCAAGAAAGCUAACUUAAACAAAGAACGUGAAGGUGGAAAUUUCAGUCCCAGAGGGUUCCAGGGCAAGUCGAGACCAGGAUAUGAGGCAGACCACUACGCAUGCUCACACUCCUUCUCCGGCCCAGGAAUAAAGCCGCAGCCUGAGUGCGGAGCGCCUGUCUCCCAGCCUGAGGUGCAGUGCUGCAUCUCUGGUCAGUUGGGAGUCUGAGAUGAAGCACUGUAGCUCAGGAAGGGAGAAGAUGUUCUGCAGCCGUCACCAGGACAUGGUAAGUGUUGGCAUCGGGUAACGGGCCUAAUAGGUUGUCUCUAGACUCUGUUCCAGCAGCUUGUGGUGAUAUUCCUGGGCUCAAGCUGUACCAGGGCUGAUCACUCUUUGUACCGUCUGUAACAAUAAGCGCUGGUCCACUCAGUGGCCACUGGCACCAACACCCUGCCUCUACUUCCUCAGCCCAGAGAAGACCCUGUUAACAAAGACGCUACAUCUACCCAUUCUGGGAGGGCUCCAACACACCCUCGGAAUCCUUCUCAACACUGCAUAGUGAAUACCCACUGUAUAUGAGUUUGCGUUGAAACCCCUUUGUCUCCAUAAAUCAGACACUCCCUAACAACCCUUAGUCCCAGAGGUAGAGUGCAAGGUCCUGGCAGCCCAACAGUAUGACACUGUCAUGUUACAACCACAAAAUGCCAGACAUUAGGAUCACACUCUUUACACUUUGAGCUCUAACCCUGGCUCUGUGCUAUUGUCUGAACCAGUCUGCCGUCUCACAAAUAUCUGCCCUAUCCCAGAGGCUUCAGAGAGGCAAGGGGCAACAGAGGAGAGUCACUGGGGUAGACCCAUUUGUAUUUAACCUCCCAAGCCUGGUCAGAGGAAGGUGACCCACUUCAUAGAGGAAAAUAGGAAAAGAGAACAAACCCCACCCUGGUCUUGGUGACUCUCAUCUGUAGUAAAGAACAGAGGCAGAAACACACACUUCUACAUAUACACCUGCAUGCCGGAAGAGGGCAUCAGAUCCCUUUAGAGAUGAUUCCUGAGCCACCAGGUGACUGCUGGGAAUUGAAUUCAGGAGCUCUGAAAGCAGCCAGCACUCUUUAAGCACUGAGUCAUCUCACCAGCCCCUGCCCAUACAUAUUUCUAAGAGUCCUAUGGCCUCGUGCCCUUCAUGCUGGCGCCUCACCCACCCAGUAGGUCCUAUUUGAUGCCACUUUACAACUGAGCGAGGAUCAGAAUCUAAGUGACCUGCUGGAGGGCCUCGCUAGAGCCUGGGAACAGAGUUCUCACGGCCCAUGGCAAGGGGGAGGGGCAGGGAUGACUGGUCCCAAAUGCUUCCUGACCUCAGAGAAGGUACUUUCCAAGCCACUCAAAGCUCUGGUUGCUCUUCCCAGAGCGGGAAGCUACAUCCUAGGAAAUAGGGUGCGUACAGCACCCCCACACUGGCUGCCAGAGCUAGGACUGGAUGCAGAGAAAACUGCUGGUCCCUAGGGGCGUGGCAUGCGCUGAAGGCGUCUCUCUCCCACCUUGUCCUCACGGUCCAGUUUUCCCAGGAAUCCCUUGGAUGCUAAGAUGGGGAUUCCUGGAAAUACUGUUCUUGAGGUCAUGGCUUAACAGCUGGAUCUGCCUCCUUCCCGCCCUGGCAUGUCCUCCCAGGGAGGAGGGAGGAGGAGGCGGUGCAUCGGAGGUAAGCGGUCUUGGGCGCGCUCUUCUGACCUUUGUAUAGCUUUUCUUCCCGUUGUGUCCAUAUUUCCUAAUAUCCCCGGGAGGCUGGAUGUGGGAACCUCAGAACUGCCUCACUCUUGAGAAACUUGUCUCAAGACCCAGUGGGUGAACCAAAGGUUGAGCCUUCCCUCCACUCUGGCCCUCCACAUUCCUUCCCUGUAGGCCUUGUGGUGAGGAGGGGCCACAGGCCCAUAUCCACAUUAUUAAGAAAGUAAUACAUAAAUUUAUUUUAAAAGUUUAUUAAAUCAGUUAGGUAAACUAAGAACCAUUCAUCUCAGUUGGAUUUGGAGGGCAGCCACUGGAAAACGAGUUUUUCAAGGUAGAACGUACAUGAUUUGGAGCGCCCCCUGGUGGUAGCUCCUCCCACUUGUGAUUCCUGUGUACGACCACAGACAUGCUUAACCCUAUCUCUUGCCAGAGAGGCUUCCACAGCUAACUUACUGGAAUUGAAUGCCUGAGUCAAAAGAAAAUGUAGAGGCAGGUUCUCCCUUAUAGCUCCCUGCCCCCCAACUCUUGGGAGUUUUUUUCUUGUUUUUCCUUAGUAAAUCUUUGCUCAUUAUGCUAAAAAAAAUUAAAAAUAAAAAAAUAAAGCACAUGCCUUUAAUCAUAGCACUUGGGAGGCAGAGGCAGGGAUGGAAAUCCAGCUAUAAAAUAGAACUUUGGCUGGAAGGAGGAGACAGAGCUUACCAGCAAAGGCGCUUGCCACCAACCUGAGGGCUUGAGUGAAAUUCCCAGAACCCAUGUGGUGGAAAGAGAAAACAGACUCCUGAAAUUUGUCCUCUGACCUCCACACGUGUAGCAUGCUGUGUGCAGACAACGUGCUCGUGCACACACACACACACACACAAACACAGGAAAUAAAUGAGAAGGAAAACUAGAACUUAGGUGCUGGAGGGAUGACUCGUCAGUACAGUGCUGAGUUCGGAUGCUUAGCGCCUAUGCAGAGAGCCAGCUUUGGGUCACACUUACCAUCCCAGUGCUGGUGGGAAGGGCAAGAGGACACCUGGAGAUCUACAACCAGCCAGCCAGCCAGGGUUGACGAGCUUCAGGUUUACCGAGAGACGGUGUCUCAUAAUCAUAGAGUAGACAGUGACAGAAGAUACUAACCGAGUGCACACACUCAUGUACCUGAGAACUAUCCUUCAACUGUCCCUAGUCCAUUGGGCUGAGCCAGUGGAGGUGGUAACUGUCAUAACUCCACAGCCCUCAUUUCUGAUGUGACUUCGAGUCUCCAGAAACCAGGCAGUCCUCAGGGUCUGUGCUCAGAGCAAGCAUCCAGAAGACAUUUCUGAAAAGAGAUACCCCUCCACACACUCCUGCUCACACUCAGAGGCUGUUGCUGACCCACUCAGGAUGGCAGACUUGCUGAUGAUAACAACACCACCCUCCACUCUCUGGCUCCUUACCAUCUGGCUCUUGACACUCCUGGAACCAUGUCAGUUCUCACUGCGACCCAAUGAGUUAGCAGACAAGCAGCCCAAGGCUGGGAGAGAUUAAGACACUUACCUUAGUCCACACUCAGGAAUUGUGACAGUACCCAGCCAAUGCUAACAAUUUCCACCCUUCUGUGCCCUACCCACCAGGCCUGCCUACCUCAGGCUGCUCCCAUCCCAGUGGCUUUCCCAUGGGGGGAAGAAUAGUGAGCCUUCUUCUCUGUGCUCUGUGACAGUAAUAAAGUACUGGACCUUA